GGAUUCUCACUAAUCCUUCCUCCUGGAAUGAUCCUCACCUGAAUUAUAGUCAGAUCCUCACCUGGGACAGCAAAGCUGCAGCUGGAAAUGCAGGAAAGCAAGUAGCCCACUGUCCCACGCUGCACAUGGGAGAGAGCUGAGGAUGGACUCUGGGUCUCCUGAACCACAUGGCCUCCUGGCUGACCAAGGUUAAAAAAUAAGAAUAGCCUUGGAGUUAUCUGCCUCARAUCUACAAGGAGUGUAAUGAUAUGCUAUUCCCUGCACCCUGAGAAACAUAGGACAACCCCUCGCCAGUCUACAGUGCCCCGGAUAAGGCUGAGGACGUUUUUUAGGGGAAGGRGAGACAUAACUAAAGAAAUKGUUUAUUUGUUUGUUUGCCUUUAUAAAACCCAUUUGGGAGGAGCAUCCACAAAUGCACCGUACAUCAGUUAUCUGCUUCGUGCCGGUUACGCUGAUGCUGGAGACGUCCUUUGUUAGAAAUUAAUGUAGGUACAGAAGAAUGGAUCUGGAAGGUUUUGUCUCUUUGAGCAUUUUGACUGAAUUUUCAUUAUCCUCGCCUCUGRACUACUGGAUUCAGCAAGAAAACCGCUGGAAAAUGGAUUUCAGUGGCUCCAAGGCCAUUUAGGGACCUCCUUUUUCUGUCCCUCUUCCCGUUGAAUGAGCAUCAAGAGCCCCUGCAUGAUGCGAGACCGUUGGAGAAGGGCAGCCCAGUGCAACCCGAGGCAACACAGAAGCUCUUCCUGCAAAUUAAAGUGCCKCUGUUUUGAUUGCUAAUGGCAAGUUUUUGCAAAUCACGAGAUAACCUUGCAAGAGGCAAGGUUGUCUAGGGGUGCAAUACGUGCAUGAAGCAAGAAAAUCAAAGCUGUAGUUCUGAUCUAGCAAAUGGGCCCUGGAAUGGAAGCGAAGGGGCGAAACGGCUGGGAUGCGCUGGAUAAAGCGAGCGGAAGCAGCGGCAGUGUCCCAAGCUCCAGGCUGAACAACACGGACCAGCAGGACGCUGCACAUCAGCGUCCGGCCCUGCCAGCUGCUCCUUGUCGGUUGGUUUCGACCAAAAACCGUGGGAGAAAUUGGAAGUGACAAAGCCUACAAACCUAAAACCAGGAGGUGAUGCACUCUGCUUGCUGGGCUGGCUUGUGCUUGGGUCUCCG